UAUAUACUCCCUCCGUCCAGAAAUACUUGUCCUAAAAAUGGUUGUAUAUAGACUUAGUUUAUGGUUGUAUCUAGACUUAGUUUAGUUUUAGAUACAUCCAUUUUAUCCAUUUCGGAGGACAAGUAUUUUCGGACGACGGGAGUAUCAU
rfam:Triticum aestivum genome assembly, contig: Triticum_aestivum_CS42_TGACv1_scaffold_162574_2DL